GUAUGAAGGCGCCUCCUAAAAAGCCAUGCACAAAGAAUUUUCAGACAAAAAGACAUGGUAAGCAACUACCACAACACAAUGCCUCGCUGAAUGUUGUCAGCUUCUAUCUGAUUUCUUAGACACCUCGCUUCUUGUUUGCAUCACAGGGAUGCUGAAGGAAGAAGCCAAAUUCUGACACAAAGAGUUUCUCCUGGGGAAAAAGAAAAUAAUUCUGUUUGAUGUAACAUCAACCACUUGAAGAAGACUGUAAGUAAAGAAUACAACCUUCAUUUUAGAUCACAGUGGCUAAUGUCUUCGGCUUACUUCUUGCUUCUUACUUCUUUUUCAUAACUGACCAUGGGGAAAGCACUGGCUGUUUGGAUGUACAGGAAUUUCCUUGAUCUUUACAACACUGGUCAUGCUUCUCAGGGAGUUUCUAAACAUAAAUGUGGAACCAUAAAGGCCUGCUUCAAAGUAAGGAGAAAUAAGGGCACAUUUGAGCUCUCCCAGUUGCUGCUUUGUGACCUCACUCUGCAGUUUAGUGAUCCUGUGAAUACAGAGGACUUCAAGGAAACAGAAAGAAAUGACUCCCUGUCUGAAAAGUCUGAAAUACCAGAUGCAUCUCUUGCUUCUAACAGUUUCUCUAUCUGAUUUAUUUUUUAGUUAUUAUGAGUUCAUGGUGUUUUUCAUUGUUGAAUUAGCAAAUAUUUGGGGGGAUUAAAUUUACUAAAAUACUUAAUGUAAUUAAAAGCAGCAAAAUUAAUACAGUUGUAAAUAAAUAUUUCAUUUUCUUGAAGGCUCUUUCGUUGUUGUUGUAAUGUUUGAAGGAUGGUUGAUUUGUUUUACUAAAGGCAAGAGUAUGACAUUGAGAUUUGGCCAUGAGGCAUUACUUAUCCUUUAUGCUUGAAUUUGCCUUACUUUAGCAGAGUUACUAUAUUAC
rnacentral:lncRNA from 1 species